rnacentral:lncRNA from 1 species
GCUCUAAAAAAACCAAUAUACCCUUUUCACUUAAUUUUUCUCUUCCUCUUCUGUGUCUUCUUCAACCUCUUUUGUGUCUUCUUCAUUUUUUUUUUCUUUUUUUUUGCUUUAACAUGAUGCCUAAUAUAAAGCCAAUGCAAUAGAUAAAAAAUGUAUCAGAUGCUAUUGAUUAUUAUUCUUUUAGCUUCGAUUAUGUGGAGAAUCUGGAUAGUAGCAUAUGGAGGGGGACAUCUGGAUUGUAUGCACAGAGAUGUUAACUUUGUGUAGGGACAUCUUAA